AUUGGUUGUUCUGAUUCGAGGCUA
rnacentral:miRNA from 1 species